GGCCCUAUGGUCAAGCGGUUAAGACAUCGCCCUUUCACGGCGGUAACCCGGGUUCGAAUCCCGGUAGGGUCACCA
rnacentral:tRNA from 9 species